GCCCCCGUAGCUCAAUUGGAUAGAGCAGUUCCCUCCUAAGGAAAAGGUUGGUGGUUCAAUUCCGCCCGGGGGCGCCA
rnacentral:tRNA from 1 species